UUUUUUUUUUGGUUUGUUUGUUUUUAAUAAUCGCAUGUCUUAAGGCUGUUGAGUUUGCCGUAUAUGUGUUCUUCCCCUUCCUUUAAUUUUAAUUAUGUGUGUGUGUUAGGGUGUGGGGAGUAUGUACAAGAGAGUGUAAGUCCACAUGAAAGCCAGAGUUGUAGAUGCUUUUGAAUGUGGUGGCUUGGAUGAGGAUGCCCCACUCCCUUCGGCUUGUUUGUUUGAAUAUUUGGCUCCCAACUGGUUAAACUGUUUGGGAAAGACUAAGAGGAGUGGGCUUGUUGGAGGAGGAGUACCACUCAGGGGUGGGAUUUGAGGUUUAAAAUAAUUCAUGCCAUUCCAUGUUACAAUGAGCUGCCCAACAUGGGUGCUGGGAAACAAUCUCAGGUCCCCUCAAGAGCAGUGCAUGUUCUUCCCCCUGAGCCAUCUCUCCAAGCCCCUUUCAGUCUCUUUUUAGAAAGUUUGAGCACAUAAUUGAUGCAAUUCAGAUGUGAUUGACUUCUAUAUGAUUAAUCCAUUUAAAGAGGACAAGGCAACAGUUUUCCUAUGUUGACAAAGAGUUCAAACUGUCACCACAAUAUAAUUUUGCUCUAUUAAAGAAAGCUAGCACUCUUUUGUAGUGAAAUUCUAACAUCCCCUAAGAUCAACCCUAAGAAACCACUAAUAUACUUUCAUCUAUUCUGGGCAUUUUGCAUAAAAAGAAUUAUAGAAUAUACAAUCUUUUGUGACUAGCUUUUUUCCACUGGGCAUAUUUUCCGAGUUCAUCUGUGUUAUGACACACACUUUACUUCUUAUUAUUGCUGAAAAAUAGUGCCAUUGGGGAUAACAUUUAGAUACACCACAUUUAAGAAAAAUCCAUUCAUUAAUUGUGGGCCAUUGCUGUUUCCCUUGCUCUCAGAUCCUUAGUUGCCUGUAGCCUUGUAGUCUGUCUGAGGUUGAGGCCUUAUGAGCUCCCCUCCUUCCAUGCUAGCUUGUCUAUUGGUGUCAUCAUCCUCAUUGAGGAUGACACAGGAUGAUACAGUUCAGACACAAAUGCUUCUCUUACAAUCUCCCUCCUCUUUCCCUGAUGAUCCUUGAGCCUUAAGUACAGCAGUUGUUUUACAGAUGUGUCAGUUGGGACUGAGCUCCCAUUUUGGUGGUUGUAGUUUUCUGUAAUGGUCUCUGUCUGUUGCAAAAAGAAGUUUCUUUGAUGAGGAGUGAGAGCUACAGUUAUCUCUUGGUAUAAGGACAAAUAUUUAGAGUUUAGUUAGGAUUUAUUCCAGCUAUUAAAUUUUUGUGAUAUUAUUGUAACAUAAAAGUAAUUAUUUCUGUGUAAUUUAUCUUUUCUGUUAGCAUGUAUGCAAUUGGUGCCAUAUCUAAGGAAUCAUUGGCUAAAGGUUACUAAUAGCCAAUAGGUCACUUGGAAUUUUGCUUCCAAGAAUUUAAAAUUUCAACAUUUCCAUUUAGAUCUGUGAUUCAUUUUGAGUGUCGUUUUGCUUCUGUGGCUUUAUGUCUGUCAUCACUUCUGUAAAACGGACUAUUCCUUCAAAUGUCACUUCUGCUCCAGAGUAUCUUUCUUCAUUGUUUUGAGGUUUGUUAUACAUAUGCUAGGUUUAUUCUUUACAAACUUGCCUUUUAAAUUCUGUUCUUCCUCCAUUCUUUUUCUUUCACUUUGGGUAUUUUUAUCGUCUUGAUCUUUCCCCAAAUCCGCUAAUUUCUGUUCUACUAUGUCUAGUCUUCAGUUUAACUCUUUUACUGUGUUCUUGAUUUCAUAUAUUGUAUUUUUCAAGAUUUUUCCCACUGAUUCUGUUAAAAUUCUGUACCUUGUUAUAUAUUUUACCCACCUUCCCCUCCUCCAUCUUAUGACCUUUUGCUUUAUUUUGUAAUAAGUCAUUUCAAAUAUCUUAUCUGAGCUUUAACAUCUGGUUUAUCUAUGGGAUUCUCUAAUCUUUCUUCUUCUUUAUCAUUGGCCAAAACUUCCUAUUCUUGUUAUGUCUUACACUUAAAAACAACCACAUAUCCCAGAGUUUUACACAAAAUUUCCAUAGACUAUAUUCCAUAGCUUAUUUUCCACUAAAACAGAAAUUAGACAAGUUGGGUAAGUUUCUGAUAUCUUCUACAUAAUCACAGAAGAGUAGGAUUGUGACUGGGAUGCAGAGUUAUUAAGAUUCAAUCAACUUCUGUUUUUCUUUUUUUCUCUUCAUGAUUCGUCUGAAAUUUUGAGCAAGAACCAGAAAAGCAUUCAUCCUCUUGGCCCUAGAGAUCUUCUUUGUGUAACUUCAGAAGUAACUGCCAUGGUCUUGAGUGUGAAGAAUAACGCCCAUGUAUUUAAAGUAGGCGUUCCCUUUAGGUAGCCUUAUAUAGACUUACAGCCGUGUAUUAGUCAGAGCUCUCUAGAAUCACAAAACGUAUAGACUAAAUUCUCUCUCUCUCUAAGUCUAUCUAUCUGUCUAUCUGUCUGUCUGUCUAUCUAUCUAUCUAUCUAUCUAAAGAGAAUCUAUCUAUCUAUCUAUCUAUCUAUCUAUCUAUCUAUCUAAAGAGAAUACACUGGAGUGACUUAUAAUCUGCAGUAGUUGCUCAGUCCCACAAUGUUAAGUAGUUCAGCUGGUCUUCUGUAUAAGCUGGAAUCCUGAAGAAGUAGAUUCCAACAGAUGUGCUGGCAAAGUGAAUGCAAGCAGGCAAAGAGGAGUGAACCUUUCCUUUUUCCUUUGUUCUUAUGUAAUCCUCCAGCAGAAAGUAUGGCGCAGAUUAAAGGGUGCCUCGAGAUCUGUAUUAAAAAUGUGUGUCUUCCAGCCUGAAGCGCUAGAUCAAAAGCUUGUGUCUGCUGUGCCCUCCAUUUCUGGAUUGUAGUUUACUCCAGUUAUAGUGGAGUUGACAACUGGGCAUAGCUAUCACAAAUCUUAUGACCAGUGAGCACAGUUCCUCAACCUCAAGCGAUAUUCAGCGGGCGUCUUGUGGGACGGCUGACUGUAUGUUUGGGGCUUCUUUGUACCUUAGUCCAUCAUACAAUUCAAAGUAAAGAUUUCGUUGCUUUCUUUUUAUCUGUGUAAAGUCCCUCUGAGCAGACCAAAGCGAAUCACUCCAUACCUAGGAUCAGUAAAUGCCACCAGGGAAGAAAACAGCUGAUAACUGCCCUUAGCCCAGACAUUGACAAAGGAUUUAUUCAAUUGUGUUACCUCCUGCAGCACAACAGUUAAUGUGGAAAUGACAAAUUUGAAUUGUAGUAAGAAAAUUGUCUCAGAGAAUAAAGUAGAGGCAACUCGACUUCUGUAUCAGCCUGGCCUUAGAAAGUGAUAAGUCCCCUGAAAAUGGAGUAAGUCCUUAGAGUUCUUGGACAACACAGAGUUCAAGACAGAAAUACAGGACUGUCUGCUAAGAGCUCAUACUAACACGUUUGCAGUUGUGGCAAGAUCACACCACUUUCAAAUAACACAGUAUUCAAUAAUAUGAUCAAAUAUGGAAAGGAUGGACAUUGGGUAAACAAAAUUUGUUGUUGCCAUAUUUUCUGACAGUUUCACUCAUUGAAUAAACAAACAUUUGCUUUAAUGUAGGGACUUGGUAAAGAUGAUGGGUCUUGUAUGUACAUGUAUGUGCCUGCCUAUGUGUAUGUGCACAUGCACAGGUGCCUGUGGAAGCUUGAGGUGAGUACUGGAUCACUGCAGCUAGAAUUACAGGCAGUUGUGAACCACUCCAAUAUGGGUACCGGGAACAGAACUCAGGUCCUCUGCAAGAGGAAGAAGUGGUCUUAAUCAAAAGUCAAUACUAGGUCCAAGAUUAGUUUUACUUUAAGGAAAUAAACUUCAGACUUAAAAGAAUAUUUUAAAUUUUAUUUAUAUGUAUGUGUGUUUGCUUUCUUGAAUUUAUGUGUAUUAGGUGUGUGCAGGAUCCUACAAAGGCCAGAAGGGGGCUUCAGAUCUCCUGGAAAUUAGAGGCUGCUUAUUUGCAUGGACUAUAUCCGCAAAUCUUAAUUCAUAUUUAGAAGUAUAAUUUUUUUCUUGGUUAAAUUCCUUUUUGUGCCCCCACCUUCCAAAACCACAAUGGGGUGGAUCUGUGUGUUUUAGGCAUUGUUCAAUUCAUCCUACCUUUACUGAUCAAAUAACAAAAUGCACAUGAACAGAAGCCCCUAAGCAAUAAAAUACAUCGACCCUCCAAUAUGCUUUUAAUAUCAAUACUUAGGAAGGCAAGGUAGAAGGCAUGGGGAAGAAAACCUACAGAUAGGCGUUCUUGGCCCAGGAGGUCCGCGAUUGUUGAUUAUUCACCUCUUUUAGCCAGCGCUGACACACGUGCAGCUGCUCUACAAGCCAGCCACGGAAAGCUGUUCUCUGAGGCCAGAAUCCAGAGCGCCUGGCGUUCCUACUUCCGGCCCCGCCCCCGCCCCACAGUUGCUAGGAGACGUGAUGUCACCGGAAGCGAGGCCUGGGAUAGGCUGAGGCCUGGGGAAACCUCUCCCACACGGCCGCUUGGGUGCCAGCGCUGGCUCUCCAGCUGUUCCUAGGCCGGGGCGAGGGUCUAGAGAGGGAGAGCGGGCUGCGGCCGGUCUCCGCUCCCCAGCCGCCGGCUCCGCGGCAGUUAGUGCUUCCCUCGAGCCGGCAGCCUGGUUGGUCGCUUCCGGGCGGCUGCCCGCGCUCCUGACUGACAGGCGCCGUCCGCACCGCCCGCGCCACCCGCCACGUCUCCGCUCUCUGCCGGCGCACGGCGUGGCUGCCUGCCGACCGACCUCUUUGAGCCCAGCGCGAUGUGGGUUCCCGGCUUCGGAUCCGCGCGACUUCCCCAGCGCCGGCGCUCCGGGUUGGAGUCAUCCUCGGUGCGGCCGCUGUGGCUGCUGCUGCUGUUCCUGCUGGCAGCCGUGCGGCCAGUGCGCGCCUGGGAGAGCGGAGACCUGGAGUUGUUCGACUUGGUGGAAGAGGUGCAGUUGAACUUCUACGAGUUCCUCGGGGUGCAGCAGGAUGCUUCAUCUGCAGACAUCAGAAAAGCAUAUCGUAAGCUUUCACUAACCUUACAUCCAGACAAGAAUAAAGAUGAAAAUGCAGAAACUCAAUUUAGACAAUUGGUGGCCAUUUAUGAAGUUUUAAAGGAUGAUGAAAGAAGGCAGAGGUAUGAUGAUGUUCUGAUCAAUGGACUUCCAGAUUGGCGACAGCCUGUAUUCUACUACAGGCGAGUGAGAAAAAUGAGCAAUGCUGAGCUGGCUUUGCUCUUGUUCAUUAUUCUCACAGUGGGUCACUAUGCUGUGGUUUGGUCCAUCUACCUGGAAAAGCAACUGGAUGAACUGCUUGGUAGAAAAAAGAGAGAAAGGAAGAAGAAGACAGGAAGCAAGAGUGUGGACGCAGCAAAACUUGGUGCUUCUGAAAAGAACGAAAGAUUGCUUAUAAAACCACAAUGGCAUGAUUUGCUUCCAUGCAAACUGGGGAUUUGGUUUUGCCUUACACUAAAAGCAUUGCCUCAUCUAAUCCAGGAUGCUGGGCAGUUUUAUGCAAAAUAUAAGGAGACAAAAUUGAAGGAAAAAGAAGACGCACUGGCUAGAAUUGAAAUUGAAACCCUUCAAAAACAGAAGAAAGUUAAAGUUAAAAAACCAAAACCAGAAUUUCCUGUGUAUAUGCCUUUAGAAAAUACGUAUAUUCAGUCUUAUGAUCAUGGAACUUCUAUUGAAGAAAUUGAGGAGCAAAUGGAUGACUGGCUGGAAAACAGGAAAAGAACACAGAAAAGACAGGCACCUGAAUGGACAGAAGAGGACCUCAGUCAACUGACAAGAAGUAUGGUUAAGUUCCCAGGAGGGACUCCAGGUCGAUGGGACAAGAUUGCCCAUGAAUUGGGUCGAUCUGUGACAGAUGUGACAACCAAAGCCAAGGAACUGAAGGACUCAGUCACCAGCUCCCCCGGAAUGACCAGGCUCUCUGAACUUAAGUCAAAUGGUCAGAAUUCCAGGCCAAUCAAGAUAGCCACAGCCUUGCCAGAUGACAUCAUCACGCAGCGGGAGGACUCAGCAGGGGCCAUGGAGGAUGAGGAGCACGAGGCUGCUGAGGGUGAGCAGGAGUCAGCGACCACAGAAGCCCGACCUCGGAGGCGGAAGUCAGCCAGGGCGGCUGAGGCUGUAACCAGAGUGGAGCCAGAGGAGAAGCUGAGAGGAAAGAGGCAAAAAGACUUUGAUAUAUCAGAACAAAACGAUUCCAGUGACGAAGAGAAACAACGAAAAGAAAGAACUCGUGCUGCAGAGGAGGCGUGGACUCAGAGUCAGCAGAAACUUCUGGAAUUGGCAUUACAGCAAUACCCUAAAGGAGCUUCUGACCGCUGGGACAAAAUAGCCAAAUGUGUCCCGUCUAAGAGUAAGGAAGACUGCAUUGCUAGAUACAAGCUGCUGGUUGAACUGGUCCAAAAGAAAAAGCAGGCUAAAAGCUGAAUCUUCUGGAAGGUGACGAUCAAUGACCAUCAUUUUCCAAACAAGUACUCGAGAAAUCUCAUGCAGAAACUUAUAUUUUGUACCUCAGUAUUUCUAAACAUCAUGUGCCUUAGUAAAAAAAAGAAAGGAAGAAAGAAAGAAAGAAAAAGAGAGGGGGGGGAGAAAGAAAGAAAAAAAGAAAGAAAGAAUGAAUCAAUUAUAGAUGCUGUAAGGUGCCAUUUACAGGCCUUCCUUGUGUUUCCAGGGGAGAGUGUGGUGCCAAAAAUAUGAGGUCCUCUGUUGGCCAGCGAAGGAGGGAAAAACAGGUGCACCAGGUGGAAUUUGAGAUAAAGCAAAUAAGUUUGAUUGUCAAAUGAGAAAUUUAAGCCUGGAAGGUGGUUCAGUGGAUAAAACCGCUGACUGCUAAGCCUGCCAGUCUGCACUCACUCUCCAGCAAGCACAUGUUCACAGGAGCUGUCCUCUGACCUCUGCAUUCAUAUUGUGGUACAGCACACACAUCCGAGCCCACAUAGACACAUGCACAUGAAUACAUGGAUCUAAAAUUUUUAAAGAAUUUCUUGCUUUUGUUUGAAACUUGAAAACGCUUUGGGCUUGUUCUUCAGUUUUGUUGUGUUUUGGAGAGAAUGCUUUGCUUUUGUGUAUGUCUGUGUACCAGAAGACGACAUUGGAUCCCAUAGAUCUGUUGUAUGGAUGGCUGUAAGUCACCAUGUAUGUAGGUGAUGGAAAUUGAACUUCAGUCCAGCCCCUUGUUUGAAACUUUAGAAGGAAACUUCAAACUGCUGCCAAGCAAGAGAUGUGCUCCACUGGCUACAGUGUGCUGUUUGUGGUCAUGCCCAGUUCUACACAAUGACACCUCAGUACCCAGUAUGUUACUGUUAGCAGGUGCCUACAGAAAAACAAAGUGAGCCGGGCAUCCUGGAGCUGGAGUGACAGGUGCUGAGAGCAGCGGGGCUUUGGAUGCUGUUGGUGUGGACAUCUCUGCAGCACAGCAACUGAUUUUCUCAAGGAAUCUGGAAUAAUGUUAGGAAUUCUGCCCUAAUUUUGUGUAUUUUACCAUAUCAAAAAUGUGACUCCAUUUUAAAAGCAGAAAAAAAAAAACCAAUCUGUUUGAAUGGGCUAAUUUCAUAUAUCUUGCUAACAUUUUAGAAAAUGCUGUAUUACAAACGGCCUUAUAACCUUAUAUGAUAUACUUAAGAGAGGCGUAAAUUAAGUUAGCUUAGACACUCAGUUUGCAAUAUCCAGCUGCUAAAACAACUGGCCCUAAGAAGAAAAGGUCGGGGGAAUAACAUGGAAAAAGACAAGACCAUCCAACUUGGCUCACCCUGCUUCCAAGAUGCAGCACAAAACAUACUUACUGUGACCUUCUGGCUCGUGCUGUCCCCGUGGAUGGUGAGGAAGGGGUUGGUGGUAGCUGUGUGGAGUGGAGGCGCCUGAGCACCUGCAAGGAGAUUGUUGAUGGGGAUCUGCGUGGGUCCCGGGAGCUGCAGCUGCUGGAGCUCAGGCGGGUGGUGCUGCUGCUGCAUCAGCUGGUAUAGGAAGGCCUGAUGCUGUUCCUUCAGAAAAAGUGGGAUGAAAGAUGAGCUUCAGCCAGAGUCAGCAAAGCCUGCCUUCUCCAUCUCUCUCCUACAGUGUUAUUUAAAGCACAGUCACUGCUAAGAGAACAAGAGCUGAGUGUGGUGGCACAGGCCUUGAAUCCCAGCAUUUGAUUGACUGGCAAGCAGAUGCAGAUCGAUCUCUCUCUCUCUCUCUCUCUCUCUCUCUCUCUCUCUCUCUCUCUCUCUCAACAGUUUGGUCUCCAUAGUGUCAUGCUAGCCAAGACUAUGGUGAAGUCUGUUUAAAAACAAACAGGAUAAAGACCAGCAUCCAGGAAAGCAACUGCAUAGGUAGUAACCCAGCACCACUUGGGAAUUGACCAUUUUUAAUUGAUUUGGUUGAUUUUUGUUUUUCAGGACAGGGUUUCUCUGUGUAGCCUUGGCUGUCCUGGAAUUCAAAGAUCCAUCUGCCUUCUGCAACCAAAGUGCUGGGAUGAAAGGUGUGUGCUGCUGCUGUCAUCCAGCUGAGUUGCCCAUUUUUAAAACACAGUAGAGGCAAAUACAGAAGUGUCUUCAAAUGAGGCUGUCCGUGAAGAACACACAACAGAAACAGCAGCAGUUGGAUGCUGUGCUGCUUGGCUUUGUUAACACACAAGCAGGUUAUCUGAAGAGGGACCCUCAAUUGAGAAAAUACUUCAAUCAGAUUGGCCUAUACGCACUGUCUUGACUAAUGAAUGAUGCAGGAGAAUCUAGGCCAUUGUAGACAGCACAUGGUUCCGAGAUGGCUAAGAAACAGCAACUUCUAAGACCCACAUUCACAAAGGAGGAGCCCGGGAUAGCCACAACACCAGACACUGACAAAAGUAAAACCUUGUCAAACAAAGGACUUACGGGUGUGAGCUGCUGGGAGUUUAACAGCUGCUGGAACUGCUGCUGCUGGAUAAACAUCUGUCUCUGCUGGUCCGACAGCAGCCCUAGUCCCGAGGCACUGAAAAACCAUCACAGCCUUACUUUCUACUGUAACCUCCUCAGGGGGAUGUCAAAGGCAGCUUCUUCAUUGGGGUGUUAACAAAUUCAUUUGAACUACAGGGCUUCAUUAUGUACAAAUUAUUCUUUCUCCUUAUAUACGUAAACUCGACCAUCAAGUAACAGAAACUUAGUCAGGAAUUUAGUUUAAAAAGAUACAAACGUAUGUGUUUGUAAUAACAGUAUUCAUCUGUUCCUUACUGCAUCAAAAUCUCUGAUAGAGAAAUAUCAAAAUUGUGCUGUUCAAAUGUGAGGAGCCAGUAUCAUGUGACCGCCACAAAAAUGCCUUUUCAAAAUUUAGUAUACAUGUAUGUAAUAAGGAAAAGUAACAUUUUAAGUUUGAUAUCCCAGAUCAGGACCGACAUUUUCAACAAAAUAUAUUUAAUAUGAUACUGAAAUCUAUUUUUAAUUGAAUUACAUCAAUUUAAAAAACAAGCAAUCCAUGAGUAGCUAGCACUUAAUUUUUUUAGAGAACAUCUACAAAAUACAUUAAAAAAUCCUAACCCAAAACAAAGACAACACUAAUAACAUGUUGCAUGAAGAAAACCAAAUAAUAAUAACAACGGCAACCACAACAACGUACUGAAGCAAGCCUCUUACCUGUUGGUCAGUGCGGCGGCCGGCAUUGGAUGCGCUGCAUUAGGUGGUACACUGGUGUGGGUGAGAGGGGCAGGGUUCUGGGAGAUUGUGACUGGAGUCUGAAUCACACCAUUUAAAGCUCCCACAAUGCCGUUAAUUGCCAGUUGGUUACCUGGCAGAGCUCCAAUUAUUCCACCCACUGCGGACACAGCUGGGAUGGUGGAUGUGACGGUCUGCAUCCCACUAGCUAGUGCCCCCACUGUCACGCCAUUCACCUGCUGAACCCCACUGACUCCAGAGCUCUGCUGAGCAGGACUCUGGCCAGCAGGAGGGGGAGUAGAAAGAGCAGAAGAACUGCUGGUGCUUUGUCCACUGGAGGUCAAGUCCUAGUGUAAUAAGAAUGAAACUGAAGUUGCAAAGAGCACAGCAAGACUGUUUAGCAUUAUUUUAAAUCAUUCAAUGUAAGGUGCAAUGUUUGCAAGUAAAACACACAAAUGAACAUUUAACCACUCUCAAAAAAGUUUACCUGAUUUAAUACAGGAAGAGAAUUGUCAGGUAAAAAGCUGUUUCCUAUAUGUGGGCUCUUACUGCUGUUCAGGGAAUCAGGAGGAGGAGCUAGAAACAGGGGAAGAGAACAAACACAGGCCCUAUUAAUUAUAGUAUGUGUAUUAAAGGCUAAUUAAAAGUAGAUGCUGAAGCCCACAAUCCUGUUAUCCCUAACACUUAUUUAACUGGGGGGUGGGGGAAGAGGGAGAAGGUGUCUUUGUGUUGAAUGUUGUAGCUUUAUUUCAAAAAUGAAAUCUUACAUUUAAAUAAAUUUUACCACUAAACUAUCCUCUGAAGUGAAAACAAAUUCAAGGGAAUUACUAGGGCUGUCUGUCUCUGUCCCUCACAACUAACUUACCAUCUUCAUCAUGUAACUGGUAACCAUUAGAGUCCAUCCCACUUCCCUUAGAAACAGUGCUGUGGUACUCACCAGUCUGUGCUGUGUAUGUGUGCAUCUGAUGGGACGGACUGGGGUUUGUCGUUAUGGCUGGGAAAGGCACUGAAAGCUGUGCAUUCAACAACUGAAGACGUUCUUUCUUGGCAGUCAAAUUUUUGAUCUGUUCUUCUAAUCUUCGAUUUUCAACUUGAAGUUGAUGUAAUGACUUUAACAUUCCUAGAACUGGAAAAUAUUUCUGUGACUUUUUUUUUUUAAAGCAAAGACAUCUCCAUUCCCAUGACUAUUUUAUGGUCAUAGCAUCAAUUGCCUCAGACUUAACUAUGUAGGAAUUUUGUAGGCUAAUACUAACAUGACUAGGGUUUAUUCCUAGAUCUGAAUGUUGAUACAAGCAUCAUGUUAAGGAACACUAUAUCCAGCUGUACCACAUGGAAGCUUUGAUCCGAGCAAGUGCUCGCCAGUGCACGUAUGUGGGGGUGUGUGUGUGUGUCAAACAAUAACCUACCUCAGUCAUGUUCAAGUAGUUUCUAUCCUCAAAGAAAAAUGAUGGCAUUUUAUUUUCCUCAAAAUAAAACUUAGUUAAAAUUUCAAA